UACGAAGGGGGCUAGCGUUGUUCGGAAUUACUGGGCGUAAAGCGCGCGCAGGCGGCUAUCCAAGUCAGUGGUGAAAGCCCCGGAGCUCAACUCCGGAACUGCCAUUGAAACUGUUUAGCUUGAGGAUGAGAGAGGUGAGUGGAAUUCCCAGUGUAGAGGUGAAAUUCGUAGAUAUUGGGAAGAACACCGGUGGCGAAGGCGGCGACCUGGUCCUUUACUGACGCUGAGGCGCGAAAGCGUGGGGAGCAAAC
rnacentral:rRNA from 1 species